UCUCCCUUUCCUCCCCCUCUCUCUCUCUGCGACGGAACCCUCCCCUCUCUGGAGAGCUUCCUUCAUCUACCUCUCUCUCCCUCUCUCUCUCUGCGACGGGAACCCUCUCCUCUCUGGAGAGCUUCCUUCAUCUACCUCUCUCCCUCUCCUCCCCCUCUCUCUCUCUCUCUGCAACGGGAACCCUCUCCUCUCUGGAGAGCUUCCUUCAUCUACCUCUCUCCCUCUCCUCCCCCUCUCUCUCUCUCUGCGACGGGAACCCUCCCCUCUCUGCAGAGCUUCCUUCAUCUAACAACAAUCGAUCAGCUUUCUUUUGGUUUUAUAGAGGCGAAAGCGGCAGUUGCCAACAAAGCUAAUAAUAAGUUGGAAUGAAGCUUCAUUUAGUUGCAAUGGUUGAUGAUGCUGGUUGAGCACAAAAGUAGAGGUGUAGAGGAAAAGAUCUAUUAUUGGCCGAAGUUGAUACUGAGAUUCAAAUAAGAGUUACUCACCAAGGUGAUGAUCAUGAUGAAGAGGAUGAGAGUCGUGAUUAUCAUAAUGAGAUGGAAGCGACUCAACACUCAGAUCGGAUUACAAUUGUUCAAGUUACAAAUGAGUGGACUAGGUUUAGGGAUAGUCUAGUUGAAGCUAUGUUUCUCCAUUAUCAAAAUAGGCGAAACUAACUUUUAUGAUGUUAUUAUGAAACUAUUGUAAUCACUUGUUACGUAUGGUUUACUUCUUGUUUGUUCCUAAUUAUUAUCGACAUUCAUAUCUAUGUAUUGUUUUCAUUGUUUUA